CCCUUAGAUGUUCUGGGCCGCACGCGCGCUACACUGAUGCAUUCAACGAGCCUAUCCUCGACCGACAGGUCCGGGUAAUCUUUGAAUCUGCAUCGUGACGGGGAUAGAUUAUUGCAAUUAUUAAUCUUCAACGAGGAAUGCCUAGUAGGCGCAAGUCAUCAGCUUGCGUCGAUUACGUCCCUGCCCUUUGUACACACCGCCCGUCGCUCCUACCGAUUGGGUGUGCUGGUGAAAUGUUCGGAUCGGCCGUUUGUCGCGGUUUCCGCGGCUCGUGGCUGAGAAGUUCAUUAAACCCUCCCACCUAGAGGAAGGAGAAGUCGUAACA
rnacentral:rRNA from 1 species